CCCGUGACUGAUAAAGAUUUGAUUUCUCAUAUUCUUGGAGGACUCAACUUAGCAUAUACUCCUUUUAUAUCCAAUGUUUAUUUUGCACAACGUGAGAGGUCACU